GGGAGGAAAGGCGAGGCUCUGCAUCUAGAUUUACCUCGUUCUCUUUUGUCUCCGCUUUUUUUUCACAUUUCCUUGCGACCCUGGCCCUUGAGCGACAAAAAGGGGAAGCCAAGGCUGGCCCGAGGAACGGAGAGGGCACAUGGCCUAGCCACAAGUGGAGCUUCUGCUCCGCCCGAAGGGAUGCGCUGGAGCGGCCUCUUCCUUCUGCCACGGUCUUUCUUUGCCAACUAGUAGAUUUGGACAUUUACAGUGUUCAGCCGUUGUUGUGGCAUUCCAAUUCAAUUGGGAAACAGCUUGAUGUAGCGUCCCCAUAAGGUCCACAGUAAUUAAAUUUUUUUUUUUUUUUUUUGGUGCGGUAGUGCAAUUUCAUGGCUCACUGCAACCUCCACCUCCCAGGUUCAAGCGAUCCUCCCAUCUCAGCCUCCCUAGUAGCUGGGAUUACAGGUGCACGCCACCACACCAGGCUAAUUUUUGUAUUUUUAGUAGAGAUGGGGUUUCACCAGGUUAGCCAGGCUGGUCUUGAACUCCAGACCUCAAGGGAUCCGCCUGCCUCAGCUUUCCAAAGUGCUGGGAUUACAGGUGGAGACUGGACCUCAGAAGAGGGAGUGGGUGCCCCGAGAACUCACAGCUAGCGGACAGUGGAAAGGGCAGGAGCCGGACCAAGGUGAGGACAGUGGAACUGAAGGCCGCUGGUUACCUCUCCUGCCCUCCGCUGGCCACAGUGGAGAAGACAGCCCCUCCCUCCUGCUCUGACCUGACAGUGUUCAUCCAUCGCCCUGUAUUAGCGAAGAACAACAUCAAGCUGGCUAGCAAGGAACUGUAUACAGGGUCCAGCUGGGUAUCACACUGGAUCUCACCCAAAGCUUAGAUGUGAUCCAGCUCAGUAUCACAAAGCAGAACGAAAAGGAUGUGUUUGGGCUGAGAGGCCAUACAUUGGCUCCGGCAUGACGGGUGACUUCUUCCGAGUCUGGCUUCUGCAGCACACAGGGCUUCGCCAGCACCCAGCUCCUGCAGCAUGGGCAGCUCCUGUGACAGCAGGCGCCCGCAGCCUGCAAAGCGUCUCCAGUGCCGCCGCCUCAGUGAACCUCAACCAGCGGCACCUAGCAGCUUUCUCUGCCACCCUCUUCAGGUAGUUCUGUAGCAGCGCGUUUCUCAUGAGACACUUCCCUGUGAGCAGCUUUUUCUACCCUUGAGGAUGGAUUUCCAGCAAAUUCUGCCCAUGUGGUACCACAGCCACUUCUCUGCCAUUCAGUGAAACUGCCGUUGUGCCCUCUUCAAGGUCUGGAUCUAAGCCCAGGGACCAGGAAACCUCUUGCUUGAGUGCUGGAACUCAGGCCAGAAGGUAUGGCUGCUGCUAUGUGCUGUGACCAGAGAAUCAGAGUUCUCUUUACUUCUUACCAGCCAACCUCUUGAAAAUGCCUUUUUGUUUUUUGUUUUUUUUUGAGACGGAGUCUCGCUCUGUUGCCCAGGCAGUGCAGUGGCUCACUGCAACCUCCGCCUCCUGAGUUCAAGUGAUUCUCCUGCCUCAGCCUCACAAGUAGGUGGGAUUACAGGCAUGUGCCACCACGCCCAGCUAAUUUUGUAUUUUUAGUAGUGACGGGGUUUCUCCAUGUUGGUCAGGUUGGUCUCAAACUCUCGACCUCAGGUGAUCCACCUGUCUCAGCCUCCCAAAGUGCUGGGAUUACAGACGUUAGCCAGAGCGCCCAGUCUAAGCCCUUUAUAGCUUAA
ensembl:lncRNA ZNF213-AS1 ZNF213 antisense RNA 1 (head to head)